UGCGGAGGGUGCAAGCGUUAUCCGGAUUUACUGGGUUUAAAGGGUGCGUAGGUGGGCCUGUAAGUCAGGGGUGAAAUCUUCAAGCUUAACUUGGAAACUGCCAUUGAUACUAUAGGUCUUGAAUUAUCUGGAGGUAAGCGGAAUAUGUCAUGUAGCGGUGAAAUGCUUAGAGAUGACAUAGAACACCCAUUGCGAAGGCAGCUUACUACGGAUUGAUUGACACUGAGGCACGAAAGCGUGGGGAUCAAACAGG
rnacentral:rRNA from 1 species